AGAGUACGUGAAACCGUUCAGGGGUAAACCUGAGAAACCCGAAAGGUCGAAAGGGGAAAUUCAUUCGCGUUUCGGCUUCGUCGGCGUUGGAUGGUCGAGUGACGGAUGGCGUACGCGUCGUCCGCGCCUUCCUUUCUUCGAACCGGCGCCGAACGCGUGCACUUUUCCCCUAGUAGGACGUCGCGAUCCGUUGGGUGUCGGUCUAAGGCACUUGCGGUGGAGCCCGUGCGGACGUUUCGGCGUCCGCUCGGACCCGUGGUGUUCCGGCCGACUCGCUCGACGGUAUACAGAUGGCGCGGGGCCGCUACUCAGUUAGCGUUCGGCCUGUGGCAAGCGCGUUCGGCGUUUGACGGCGAUCGGACCUGGUGCCGGUCCUGUCCCCGAACGACUGUUGGCUGCGGUGUUCUCGAACAGACCUCGUCUUUGAAACGCCGAUCUGCGACGCUAUAGCUUUGGGUACUUUCAGGACCCGUCUUGAAACACGGACCAAGGAGUCUAGCAUGUGCGCGAGUCAUUGGGACAUAACUAAACCUAAAGGCGCAAUGAAAGUGAAGGUCCGCCUUGCGCGGACCGAGGGAGGAUGGGCGGUUCGCCCUUAAAAGUGGCCGCCCCGCACUCCCGGGGCGUCUCGUUCUCAUUGCGAGAAGA
rnacentral:rRNA from 1 species